GGCAGCAGGCACGCAAAUUACCCACUGGCCGAAGGCCGAGGUAGUGACGAAAAAUAACGAUACCAGACUCAUCCGAGGCCUGGUAAUCGGAAUGAGCACACUUUAAAUCCUUUAGCGAGGAACCAUUGGAGGGCAAGUCUGGUGCCAGCAGCCGCGGUAAUUCCAGCUCCAAUAGCGUAUAUUAAAGUUGUUGUGGUUAAAAAGCUCGUAGUUGGAUCUCGGCUCUCAGGGGGCGGUCCGUUAUUUGACGCGACUGCCCCAUUUGAGAGUGUUUCUUCGGCGGAACUCCCGGGGUGCUCUUCGCCGAGUGUCCCGUUGGGGGCCGCCAGGUUUACUUUGAAAAAAUUAGAGUGCUCCAAGCAGGCUCGACACGCCUGAAUAUUUGUGCAUGGAAUAAUGGAAUAGGACGUCGUUCCUAUUUUGUUGGUUUUCGGGAAUCGACGUAAUGAUUAAUAGGGACAGCCGGGGGCAUUAGUAUUCAGACGACAGAGGUGAAAUUCUUGGACCGUCUGGCGACUCACUGCUGCGAAAGCGUUUGCCAAGUAUGUUUUCAUUAAUCAAGAACGAAAGUUAGAGGUUCGAAGGCGAUCAGAUACCGCCCUAGUUCUAACCAUAAACGAUGCCAGCUAGCGAUCUGCCGAUGUUUUUAUUGUAGGCUCGGCAGGAAGCUUCCGGGAAACCAAAGCGUUUGGGUUCCAGGGGAAGUAUGGUUGCAAAGCUGAAACUUAAAGAAAUUGACGGAAGGGCACCACCAGGCGUGGAACUUGCGGCUUAAUUUGACUCAACACUGGAAAUCUCACCAGGCCCGGACACCGGAAGGAUUGACAGAUUGAGAGCUCUUUCUCGAUUCGGUGGGUGGUGGUGCAUGGCCGUUCUUAGUUGGUGGAGUGAUUUGUCUGGUUAAUUCCGAUAACGAACGAGACUCCGUCCUGCUAAAUAGUUCCGACGUCACACGUGCGUCGGAAAUUCUUCUUAGAGGGACUGGCGGCAUCUAGCCGCACGAGAUGGAGCAAUAACAGGUCUGUGAUGCCCUUAGAUGUUCUGGGCUGCACGCGUGUUACACUGAAGGGAUCAGCGUGUCUUCCCUGACCGAGAGGUCCGGGUAACCCGCUGAACCCCCUUCGUGGUAGGGAUCGGAGCUUGCAAUUAUUCUCCGUGAACCAGGAAUGCCCAGUAAGCGCAAGUCAUAAGCUUGCGUUGAUUACGUCCCUGCCCUUUGUACACACCGCCCGUCGCUACUACCGAUUGAACGUUUUAGUGAGGUAUUUGGACUGGACCUCCGGAGGUUCGCGCCUCCGGUGCUGUUCGGGAAGACUCCCAAACUUGAGCGUUUAGAGGAAGUAAAAGUCGUAACAAGGUUACCGU
rnacentral:rRNA from 1 species